UAUACAGCUCACCUAUUACUGUUCCCAGGGGCGUGACCACACUCCGUUCUUAGAUUAUAGGGCUGCCCUUUCUCUGGUGUUCUUUCCAAAUAGCCACCACCGUGGCCUCAAAUGAGAACCUCACAUGCCCCACAGGCACUUGGACAGUGCUUGGAAGUGCUCGCUUCUGCUCUGUGGAAUGUUCUGGAAUCCUCUCCAGGGAGGUGGCCCAGGGAAAUGCAUCCAACAUCUUGUCUUCUCAUCCAAGCAGGACGGCACUUUCAUGUCCUUGUUACCAAGUGGGAUUAAGGACAGUCUCCUGGCCAGGCAUCUGCAAAUGUGUGGCCUCCUGGAAAGGUGGAUUUUUCUGUAUGCCACCCAGGGAUACAGUCCAUGAAGAAUAAAUUCCUCAUCCCAGCAGGAGCUAGAA